UGCCAGCCGCCGCGGUAAUACGGAGGAUGCGAGCGUUAUCCGGAAUCACUGGGUUUAAAGGGUGCGUAGGCGGGAAAAUAAGUCAGAGGUGAAAUCUGGUCGCUUAACGAUCAAAUUGCCUUUGAAACUGUUUUUCUUGAAAUAUGAUGAGGUUGGCAGAAUGUGACAUGUAGCGGUGAAAUGCAUAGAUAUGUCAUAGAAUACCAAUUGCGAAGGCAGCUGACUGGUCAUUAUUUGACGCUGAGGCACGAAAGCGUGGGGAGCGAACAGGAUUAGAUA
rnacentral:rRNA from 1 species